UUGCACUGAAAUGCUUACAAGACACGAAAGACAUUCAACAGAACUAUAUUAAACCCCAUCACUACCACACAAGUGAGCACAACACGGAUUGCUUUCAAUUCUGCAUCAAUACAAUAGAGCUAGUACAUGAAUGGCUGGUCUUCAAAGUUGUUCCUACUCGUAUCUUCAUUAACGUGUUUCCUGUUCAGAUCUUCAUCAACGUGUUUCCUGUUCAGAUCUUCAUCAACGACGAAACAGUCCACCUUAGUUUUGUCAUCGACCACAAGAAAAACCCACAGUCCACCUUCUUAUCUUUCAAAUAAGGACAUCGGAGGAAGGAUCCCCCCUGUUCAUCGGCGAACCAACAACCUUAAUCGUGACGUCGUAGUUAUGUGAACACCUUACUUUCGAGCCAACCACCGGUCAAAUUGUAUGUGGGCGAAAUGCUCCAUCCCGAACUGGCCUGCAAAUUGAUGGUCUAAUAAACCACUGAUGGGAAAUUCGAUAUGGAAGAUUGUUGAUGAGGAGACAGAACAGAUCUUAGGGAGAAGGGGAAUGGAUUGGAGAAAAGAAAAAAUGACGAAGUGAAGGAAUGAUGGGUUGGAUGAGAUGAGAAGAAAAAAUGAAGAACUAUAGAAUUUAUGGGUUGGAUGAGAUGAGAAGAAA
rnacentral:lncRNA from 1 species